CUGGACGUCAGCGGCUCUGCACACAGCUCUGCACGCCGAGGGCUGAAGGCCUGUGUCCCCCAGAUUCACCUGCUGAAACCAAACCUCGGGGGAUGGUGUCCAGAGGUGGGCCUCCGGGAGGUGAUGGGGUCGGGAGGGUGGAGCCCCCACGGUGAGGUCGUGGUCCUCUGUAAAGACUCAGAGAGCCCCUGCCGCUGGCCCCCCAACUCCUCCCUGAGGCCACGUCUGUGAUCCAGAAAGAUCUCCCCUUGGACACGGAGCCUGCCGGGCCUUCCAGGCUCCAGCCUCGUGGGGAUCUCUCACCGGCAUCCCGAGCAGACGCAGGUGGGUCCCGUGGUGGCUUGAAAGCCCCCGGCGGGUGGUCACUUCCUUCAGCCACGGGGCAUCAUCUUGUUCACAUUUAAGGGCGACGAUGGCUGUUCUGUGAGUUCUGAACUGCGAUCUCAUCACUGAAGCAGCUUGUAUCGCGUGCAGCAGGCUGUGUCCCUGGGCCCCUGUCAGAGUCACAGGGCUGAGUCAGCUGAGGUGACGGUGGAUGGCAGCAGGACAGGCUUGUUGGAAACGGCUUUUUCUUGAAGGCCGUUGCCUGAAACAGCGGCUACCAUGCACAGCGUUGUCCCUGGCACUCUGCUUAGAUGCAAACAGGUCAUUUUGCUUAGUGGGUCGGCUCCCAGUAGGACAGCUGGAGGUGGAGGCAGAGGGUCCCCCAAACACACACUCCCCUGACCUGGCCAAGCCCUGGGCUACCCCUGGGGGGCUGGAGGGAGGUGCCAGCCAGGCUCGAGGCCUAGGGACAUGGGCGUGGUUGGCAGCUGUGUGCUUUCCAGGCCAUCGGCAAGUCACUGCAAGUUUAGUGAAGUUCCUUGUAAAGUGCUGUAGAGAUGGCAGGGUAAGGGAAUUAGGGGAAGCGAGGUUGGGAGAAAGAACAAGAUUGGCACUUUACAGGAACAGAUCACUUUUAAUGAGGCGAGAAGCGGCAGCAGUCAGAUUAGUGAGCUGCAGCACCGACCCAGUGGAGAAGGAAAUGGCAGCUCACUCCAGUGUGCUCUUGCCUGGAGAAUCCCAGGGGCGGGGGAGCCUGGUGGGCUGCCGUCUAUGGGGUCGCACAGAGUCGGACACGACUGACGCGACUCAGCAGCAGCAGCAGCAGCAGCAGCACUGACCCAAGGAAAGAGUUUCUCAAGAGGCAAGUCAGGUGGUCUGGUGAUGGAAUUCCAGUUGAGCUAUUUCAAAUCCUGAAAGAUGAUGCUGUGAAAGUGCUGCACUCAAUAUGCCAGCAAGUUUGGAAAACUCAGCAGUGGCCACAGGACUGGAAAAGAUGGCGAUUUGCCGUGGGGGGUACGGUCUCUCCAGAUGCUCAGCACUCCCAGGUCCUGAUGGACUUCUGACGACUUGAUAAAGAGCGCCUUUCUGGUGGGGCUGGACUGGUCGGAGAGGAGCCCAGGUAUCUUCAGACACAGCGAUGCGCACAGAGAGGGAUCGGCAGAGCGGAACCUGGAGCCCGAAGAAAAGAGUGUUUGGCGUCGGUGACGGACCAGGAGCAGCUGCACUGGGCGAUAAGCUUGGACUGAAAAGCGAGGAGAUGAGGGGGGCUGUGGGUGCUUGCUCUGCCCUGUGAAAUAGUCCACACCUCUAAAGGCACUUCCAGCCACUACCCACAGUCAUAGUUUCAGCAGAGGACUCCUUCAAUGUCGGAUGAUUCCAGUGAAAACCGAGGCUGCUGCCUGGGAACAGCCCUCAUGGGGUGCUGGGUGAUCUUCCCGUGUGCAGGACAUGGAGUGUUGCUCACACAGCGAAGCAUCGCUGUUACCACCACUUACGAGAGUCUAGAUCAAAAUAGAGAAGAAUCUGUUGCUGCAAUUUGUGAAGUAGCACACUUCUGUUACUUCUGGUUUCGUGUAGAAAAUCAGAUGGGGCCAUCAGCCUGAUUCUAGGGGCACACACGGUAAUAGAUGUAGAAGCUUUGCAAUUAACCCAGUUUCUGCUCUGAUGACUACAGGGCCGGUUACUCUGGGACUGACUAUGGCCAAGUUUUACCCCUUGAACAAAGCUACUGCUCAUAGACCCCAGACGUCAAAGGAGCUCGCCUCCCAAUGUUGAUGUCACAAAGAGAUUUACUCUGGAACUUGUUGAAGUUGCUUUUUUUUUUAAACAAACUUUCCUUUAUUUCAAAGACAAACUUCUGCCUUGACCUGUUUCUGUAUUCAUCAUUUCCACAUUAUACAGAAUCCAAAACCACAAGGGUUAUGUGCCGUAUGAACUUAAAGGAAUUAGCAGGAAUUUACCUCAACAUAAUAAAGGUUAUGUAUGACACGCCAACCAGAGAAGGCAAUGGCACCCCGCUCCAGUAGUCUUGCCAGGAGAAUCCCAGGGAGAGGGGAGCCUGGUGGACUGCCGUCUAUGGGGUCGCACAGAGUCGGACACGACUGAAGCGACUUAGCAGCAGCAUGACACGCCAACAGCUAACAUCAUAUUCACUGAUGACAACCAAAAGCACUGUCUCUGAGACAAGAGCAAAACAAGACUGUGCCCAUGCUGGGCAAUCAGGCAAGAAAAAGAAAUACAAAGCACCCAGGUUGGAAAGGAAAAAGCAAAAUGAUCUGUUUGCAGAUGACAUGACUUAUGUGUAGAAGACCCCAAAGGUUCCAUAAAAAAAACUAUGCGAUUUAAUAAAUGAAUUUAGUGAAGUUGCAGGAUAAAAAAUCAGUUGCAUUUCUACACACUGACAUGAACCGUCCAAAAAGGAAGUUGAUCAAAUUCUCUCAUUCACGCAGGAUCAAAAAUUAUAAAAUAUUUAGGAGUUAACUAAGGAGAUGCAAGUCUUAUUUCUGAAAACUACAAAGCGUUAGAAAAUAAAGUAGAGGAGGUGAAAACGCAUGGAAAGAGACCUCAUGUUUGUGGAGUGGAAGGCUUAGGGUUACAACGUCCAGAGCCAGUGUUCAUCCCCAUCAGAACCCCAAUGGUAGUCUUUACAGAAAUAGAGAGAAUAGCUGAAAAGUAAAGUGAGUGAGGGCCCAGAAAGAAGAGCCCAAGCAGUCCUGGUAAAGAAGAGCAAAGCUGGAGGCGCCACAGUUCCUGAGACCAGAACGCAUCACAAAGGCAUGCUGAGGCACAGGAGUUCAAUCGAAGGAGCCAUGGUCUGCAUGGACGGUGGCCCUUUGUGGAAGGAAAUCCCCCAUCCUCAAGCGUGCAUCGCCCGAGCAGCAAAUCUUCCUAACGCUUGACUCAGGACCUGCUAAUCUUGUGGAUUUCCGAGAGUUCACAUGUUUGCCGUGGUUACAGCCUCUGGAAGGCUUGAAGGAUGGAGCACACCCUGGCCUCCUUUGUAGCCCAGCCAGCACGUCAGGGAAAGAGCAGAGGGCACUUUGCUCUCUGGCCCACCCGCAGUUAGGUGCUGGACAAGGUACUCGUCCUCACGAGAGGCUGACGCGGCCGCGGGCCUGCCCAGCAGUCCACAUGGCUCUUCUCUGGGCACCGCUCCCAGAUGGCGUGGUGCUCCCUGCCCUUGGCUCUAGGCUCCUCCAGGCUCGUGCCUGGGGUGGGGGGUGGGGGGCGGUCAGAAUCCACCACGUGUCAUCAUCUACUGCAGGCCUGAGUGUUCCGGAACAAAGGGAUCCCCAGGACCACUGGGUGGAGAGGGGAAAGCGGACUCCUGGAUCAACAGCAGGUGAUCAGGUCCAUGUCCAGGCAUGGUCUCACUUAGGGAGGCGGGGAAGUCCAGGAGGUCAGUGACGUUUGCCUGCACGCUGGGGAAGCGACUCUUAGCAAUGGAGACUGUGCUACUUGGAAUACUCUGCCCCGCCUGGCAGCUCAGAAAGCAGUCCAUGAGAUACAGGGCCAACGCAGGGCCUCUCUCUGCUGGUUGAUUACGCCGAUUAAAGUCUUCCCAGCUUUGGGCCAGAGCUUCUAUCCCUCAGUCUGUCUUUGAUCUCUGGACUCUUGACCGAGGACUGUGUCCCUCUGUGUGGCCCUGUGAGGUGUGAGUUGGUUUCUUUGGUCCACACUGGAUGUCCUUUUUCACUCCAAACAUGCUCCGGUGCUUCCCAGCAGCUGAGAAGAGUGUGGCUGGCCGCAGUCUCCCCUAGCUCUUGUCUCAUCUCAUGUCCAUGACGGGGUGACCUGUCCACGUCCCGUCUGGGGUGUGCAGAGCAGACCCACUGACCUGGGCAUCUGUCCAAUGUUUGUGCCCAGAAGCUGUUGCUGCUUCUCUGGGACAGAGACAGUAUCAUAGCAGAAUUGUCAGUCUUGAGGAGCAGAAGUGUCUUCGACAGAGUGCCCUUUAUUUUUAAAACUGUGUGUCUUUCGUCAUGCUAAUGUUAAUGACAAAAGAUGGUCGUUUCUGCUUUGAGUCCUUCCUGGCCAAAACUUUAAGCAGGCUAGCCUCUGAGGUCACCAGGGCAUUACUCCUCUUCGUGGUCCAGAUGUCUGGAGCCAGGGGGCCGGGCCUCCCAAGCAGACCUCCUGGACUAGUCUCCGGGCGGGGUGCCGCAAGCAGGCCCUCUUCGUGUAGAAAAUGCCACAACAUCCUGUAAGAUUAACAACAAAUUAGCCAAGACAGCGAGCUGGCAAAGCGGUCUGCACGAUGUCUCCUCUACGGGAAGACUCUCUUGCAGCCGCUGAAGUCUUUCGGGGGCCGAUUUCGGUUUCAUUUGAAACGACGCUGCAGUCACAACUCGGUGGCCCAAAAUGUGUGCUGAGUGAAGAGCUGCCUUUUAAUCUCAUUAUAGAAGCGUGCCUCUUAGAGAAUUCAGCUCAGUGCUGUUCACUUAGUGUCUGACUCUCUGCGAGCCCAUAGACUGCAGCAUGCCAGGAUUUCCUGUCCAUCACCAACUCCUGGAGCUUGCUCAAACUCAAGUCCAUCGAGUCUCUGAUGCCAUUCAACCAUCUCCUCCUCUGCCUAGAAAAUUAGGAGGACCAUUCAUCCCAAAUUCCUGCCCUGAGGGAACUGACAAUCAGGCCAGUGAGGCACCUGCAGUGGGCUGACCCAGCGAAUUAGGCACGAUGCCUUGGACACCAGCUCCCGGGGCCCAGGGCUGUGGACAGACAGCCAGGCCAGAGCACCCAGGUCUCCUGACUCCCAGCUUUGCAGCCCUGCUGCCGUGGCUUUCGCCGGCAGACGGGCCAGGCCUCCCUGAUGGCUCUCAGGUGGCCAGCCUCAGCUUCCAGCUGCCCUCUGCUAGGUUUCUACCAAGACGCUGGGUGAUGAUCAUCCAUCUAGUCAAGGAUGAGGCUCGCUGUUGAGAAGUGAUCACACCGAGUCCUGUCAGGAAUGAAAAGAGCAACCCGACAUCUGACGCAUCAGGAAUUCGCGGAUCGCCGGCCAGCUCCUCCUCUAACCCUGGCCUCCCUUGUGUGACCCCUGGGCAGAGGUCCACAGCCCCUGAGGGGCCAGGGCAGCCCAGCUUGACAGGAGGACCAGCUGGAGUAAUUCUGGUCUGGCAGCGUUUACCAAGACUCAGGCCAUGGAAGCUUCUGGUUACUAAGACCCUAGAAAGGGCAGGACCUCUGUGGGACUGGCCCACGCAGGGUCUCAGGCCCCCUCUCCCCCAAGAAGGGGCGCCGUGAGGGUGGGGGCGGGCAGUGCCCCCCGGGGUUGGGGAGCAAUACAGGCGCACAUGGCCCAGUCUCUGGUCGCAGACUCUCCUUGGCCGCAAAUAACAACUUAGAUUAGAAAACGAGGGGUUGUUUAUCACAUGAAGAGAGGUCCAGGAGAGGUGGCUGCUGACUCUUAAAGUCACCCCCAGAGAGCCAGCCCCUGGAAGAAGCCUGUGCCCGGGUGAACCGGGAGGGCUGCUCUGACUUGCUGAUUUGUGCUCUGCAGCCGUGACUGGAGGUUUCCUGCAUUUCUAGUCUGGAUUCUAGACAGACUUGCCCUGUGAUACAUCUGCCAAGGGGAAGACCACCUUCACCAGCUUGGGGCAGGGGCUUCUCUGCGUGACCCGGACCUCCCAGCUCCCCUCACUCCUGGGGUGCAGUUGAUCCCACCACGGCGUGGGGCUGUCCACACAGCAGUGACUCAGGAGCAGCCACUGCUCUGCAGAGGUGGGACAUCCCCGCCACGCGCGUGCACUGUGGACCCGUGGACCCGGGGGAGCUGGAGCUGGCUGUGUGAGGGGGCACCGCGUUCAUGAUUAAGUGGGUCUGGACGAUCCGAACAUGAUGUAUAAACCUCAGACUGGAGCUUCCUAAUCUGAAAAUCAGCACCACAAAAUCCUGGGAGAGCCCUCAAAUGGGAUUUGAACGGAAUAGGAACUGGUCACUUCUGAGGGCCUGCUCCCCUCAGACUCGGAGAGAGGAGGUUGGAAGGAAGGGGCAGCGACUGGGGGUGUUGGGCAGACCUGCCGAGCCCUAGACCAGAGCCGACUCUGCGCCCGGCCCUGGACUUCGGACACGUCCCGACGCCAGCUCCGCCAGCACUGAGAGUGGGCACGUCCUCGCGUUGGUGGCAGAGGUGGGUGGGGACUGCAGGCCUGCAGGCGGCCAGCCCGCAGACCCUCCCCACCGCGGGCCCGUCUCCAGCUGCCUUAGAGCUUGGGGACGUUCUGGUGCCUCCACUGGACCCAUCCCAGCGAAGGGAGAGGGGCGGGCCUGGCCUCACACUUAGAAGCCCCGCUGUGGAAGCCCGUCUGCAGCGGCUGGGCUGCUAGGUUCGGACCAAGUGUCUGCUGCUGCGUCCUGGAGGCCAGACUGCUGGGGAAGGGGGUGAGGACGCUCAGCUGCCCACGAUGGAUGGCCUCUCUGGGCGCUGGUCAUGCACACCGCAGGAGAGCCCCGUCCAGCAGAGAGGAGCUCCAGGAGCUCCAGAGGAAGUCUCUGCACCCCUUGUCGGCCCAGUGCCUGGGGGCAGAGUGGGGCAAUGUCCAGGAGCUGGGCUGGGGUGAGGGUCUGUGUCUGGAGGUCCAUCCCGUCAGGCACACAGGUCAGCUCCUGGACGUCACUCUUCUGUCAGACUGCUGCCCCUCCGCGGGUUUCCAGGCGUCCUCCCCGGAUAAGCAUCCUGCGCUCACCCUUUGUCUGGAGGUGUGCCCGGGGGAACCUAAACUGAAACAAGCGUGGUCCGAGCCUGGGUCCAAACUGGCUCCUGCGGUGGGAGAACAAGGUCCCACUGCUGAUGGCCCUCACCGACCAAGAAACGCCUGCCUGGGGAGAAGGAGAAACUGCAAGGCACUGCCUGUCAAGUCACCCUCCUUGAGGGACAGGCGCCGUGUGAGCGAGACAGCUGGCCUCUGGGAGGCCGCUCUCCCAGGACCCUUGUGGCCUGGCAGACCCCACCUCAAGGGCCCUGCGACCUUUGUGCUGCUGCUCUGCCUUCACGGCACACCCCCAACCCCCCCGACUCCCUGCAAGGCUUAGACGUGGGCAUCGGUCCAGAGCACGGACGCUGACAAGACCCCAGAGGAGACCGGAGUUGCUGGGGUGCCCAGGGGGCAGCUGGAGCCGCUGGGCAUCAGACAGGGCUGGAAACACAGGGCUGGGCACUGAGAGCUGACGAUGAACGGUGUCGGGUGCGCGAUCUCCAAAGACUUAGCUUCGGGACAGGGGACCAGGCUUGAUCACCCAAGAGCUUUUGUGUAGCAGAGUUUCAUUAAAGUGAGAAAGGGUCAAAGAAAGCCUCUGAUACAGACAUCAGAAGCGGGGUGGAGACUGUCCCCCUUGCUAGUCUUAACAGGGGAGGUAUAUGCUUUUCCGAUUAGCUACUACAGUGCAUCAAAAAAAAGUCUCAAGGCAGUAAAGGUCUUACCAGACACACUUCCACAAUUCACAGUUUGAGAUAACAAGAUUCGGCUCAGUCCAGUCGCUCAGUCGUGUUCGCCUCUCCGUGACCCCAUGAAUCGCAGCAUGCCAGGCCUCUCUGUCUAUCACCAUCUCCCGGAGUUCACUCAGACUCACGUCCAUCGAGUCCGUGAAGCCAUCCAACCAUCUCAUCCUUGGUCGUCCCCUUCUCCUCCUG
ensembl:lncRNA